GACGUAGGGGGCUAGCGUUGUCCGGAAUCAUUGGGCGUAAAGAGCGUGUAGGCGGCCCGGUAAGUCCGCUGUAAAAGUCAAAGGCUCAACCUUUGAAUGUCAGUGGAUACUGCCGGGCUAGAGUCCGGAAGAGGCGAGUGGAACUCCUGGUGUAGCGGUGGAAUGCGCAGAUAUCAGGAAGAACACCAACGGCGAAGGCAGCUCGCUGGGACGGUACUGACGCUGAGACGCGAAAGCGUGGGGAGCGAACAGG
rnacentral:rRNA from 1 species